rnacentral:rRNA from 1 species
AGUGAACGCUGGCGGUAGACCUAACACAUGCAAGUCGAACGGCAGCACAGUAAGAGCUUGCUCUUACGGGUGGCGAGUGGCGGACGGGUGAGGAAUACAUCGGAAUCUACUUUUUCGUGGGGGAUAACGUAGGGAAACUUACGCUAAUACCGCAUACGACCUACGGGUGAAAGCAGGGGAUCUUCGGACCUUGCGCGAUUGAAUGAGCCGAUGUCGGAUUAGCUAGUUGGCGGGGUAAAGGCCCACCAAGGCGACGAUCCGUAGCUGGUCUGAGAGGAUGAUCAGCCACACGGGAACUGAGACACGGUCCAGACUCCUACGGGAGGCAGCAGUGGGGAAUAUUGGACAAUGGGCGCAAGCCUGAUCCAGCCAUACCGCGUGGGUGAAGAAGGCCUUCGGGUUGUAAAGCCCUUUUGUUGGGAAAGAAAAGCAGCAGGUUAAUACCCCGCUGUUCUGACGGUACCCAAAGAAUAAGCACCGGCUAACUUCGUG